ACGGGAGGCAGCAGUGAGGAAUAUUGGUCAAUGGGCGGAAGCCUGAACCAGCCAAGUCGCGUGAAGGAUGAAGGUAUUAUGUAUUGUAAACUUCUUUAGACGCAGAGAAAUAAGAGGGUCGUGACCCUUGAUGCUAGUAUGCGUAGAAUAAGGAUCGGCUAAUUCCGUGCCAGCAGCCGCGGUAAUACGGAAGGUCCGAGCGUUAUCCGGAUUUAUUGGGUUUAAAGGGUGCGUAGGCGGGAAGUCAAGUCAGCCGUAAAAUCGCCGGGCUCAACCCGGUCCCGCGGUUGAAACUGUCUUCCUUGAGUACACUAGAGGGCGAUGGAAUUCGUGGUGUAGCGGUGAAAUGCAUAGAUAUCACGAAGAACUCCGAUUGCGUAGGCAGUCGCCUGGGGUGCCACUGACGCUGAGGCACGAAGGUGCGGGUAUCAAACAGGAUUAGAUACCCUGGUA
rnacentral:rRNA from 1 species